CAGCCGCCGCGGGAAUACGAAGGGUGCAAGCGUUAAUCGGAAUUACUGGGCGUAAAGCGCACGUAGGCGGAUUUUUAAGUCAGGGGUGAAAUCCCGAGGCUCAACCUCGGAACUGCCUUUGAUACUGGAGAUCUUGAGUUCGGAAGAGGUUGGUGGAACAGCUAGUGUAGAGGUGAAAUUCGUAGAUAUUAGCUAGAACACCAGUGGCGAAGGCGGCCAACUGGUCCGAUACUGACGCUGAGGUGCGAAAGCGUGGGGAGCAAACAGGAUUAGAUACCCCCGUAGUCCCUGUCUCUUAUAC
rnacentral:rRNA from 1 species